UACGAAGGGGGCGAGCGUUGUUCGGAAUUACUGGGCGUAAAGGGCGCGUAGGCGGCCCCUUUUGUCGCGUGUGAAAGCCCCGGGCUCAACCUGGGAACGGCGCGCGAAACGGGGGGGCUUGAGUUCGGGAGAGGAGCGUGGAAUUCCCAGUGUAGAGGUGAAAUACGUAGAGAUUGGGAAGAACACCAGUGGCGAAGGCGGCUAUCUGGACGGUUUCUGACGCUAAGACGCGAAAGCGUGGGGAGCGAACAGG
rnacentral:rRNA from 1 species